UACGAAGGGGGGCUAGCGUUGCUCGGAAUUACUGGGCGUAAAGGGCUCGUAGGCGGCCAACUAAGUCGGAUGUGAAAUCCCCAGGCUUAACCUGGGAACUGCAUCCGAUACUGGAUGGCUUGAAUCCGGGAGAGGGAUGCAGAAUUCCAGGUGUAGCGGUGAAAUGCGUAGAUAUCAGGAGGAACACCGGUGGCGAAGGCGGGUCUCUGGGCCGAUACUGACGCUGAGGAGCGAAAGCGUGGGGGAGCGAACAGG
rnacentral:rRNA from 1 species